ACGGAAGGCAGCAGUGAGGAAUAUUGGUCAAUGGACGCAAGUCUGAACCAGCCAAGUAGCGUGCAGGAUGACGGCCCUCCGGGUUGUAAACUGCUUUUAGUUGGGAAUAAAGUGCAGCUCGUGAGCUGUUUUGUAUGUACCAUCAGAAAAAGGACCGGCUAAUUCCGUGCCAGCAGCCGCGGUAAUACGGAAGGUCCAGGCGUUAUCCGGAUUUAUUGGGUUUAAAGGGAGCGCAGGCGGACUCUUAAGUCAGUUGUGAAAUACGGCGGCUCAACCGUCGGACUGCAGUUGAUACUGGGAGUCUUGAGUGCACACAGGGAUGCUGGAAUUCAUGGUGUAGCGGUGAAAUGCUCAGAUAUCAUGAAGAACUCCGAUCGCGAAGGCAGGUAUCCGGGGUGCAACUGACGCUGAGGCUCGAAAGUGCGGGUAUCAAACAGGAUUAGAUACCCUGGUA
rnacentral:rRNA from 1 species